UACAGAGGGUGCAAGCGUUGUUCGGAAUCACUGGGCGUAAAGAGUUCGUAGGCGGACCAAUUAGUAUGGGGUUAAAUACCGGGGCCUAACUCCGGAACUGCUCUGUAAACGGUUGGUCUAGAGUAUUGGAGAGGAUAGUGGAAUACCUGGUGUAGAGGUGAAAUUCGUAGAUAUCAGGUGGAACACCGGAUGCGAAGGCGACUAUCUGGCCAAGAACUGACGCUAAAGAACGAAAGCAUGGGGAGCAAACAGG
rnacentral:rRNA from 1 species